rnacentral:rRNA from 1 species
CGCGUAGGCGGCCUUGUAAGUCUGGUGUGAAAGUCCACGGCUCAACCGUGGAAGUGCAUCAGAUACUGCAGGGCUUGAGUAUCGGAGGGGAAAGUGGAAUUCCCGGUGUAGAGGUGAAAUUCGUAGAUAUCGGGAGGAACACCGGUGGCGAAGGCGACUUUCUGGACGAAUACUGACGCUGAGGCGCGAAAGCGUGGGGAGCAAACA